rnacentral:rRNA from 1 species
GAUGAACGCUGGCGGCGUGCCUAAUACAUGCAAGUCGAGCGAAGGGACGAGAAGCUUGCUUCUCUGAUGUUAGCGGCGGACGGGUGAGUAACACGUGGAUAACCUACCUAUAAGACUGGGAUAACUUCGGGAAACCGGAGCUAAUACCGGAUAAUAUUUUGAACCGCAUGGUUCAAAAGUGAAAGACGGUCUUGCUGUCACUUAUAGAUGGAUCCGCGCUGCAUUAGCUAGUUGGUAAGGUAACGGCUUACCAAGGCAACGAUGCAUAGCCGACCUGAGAGGGUGAUCGGCCACACUGGAACUGAGACACGGUCCAGACCCCUACGGGAGGCAGCAGUAGGGAAUCUUCCGCAAUGGGCGAAAGCCUGACGGAGCAACGCCGCGUGAGUGAUGAAGGUCUUCGGAUCGUNAAACUCUGUUAUUAGGGAAGAACAUAUGUGUAAGUAACUGUGCACAUCUUGACGGUACCUAAUCAGAAAGCCACGGCUAACUACGUGCCAGCAGCCGCGGGUAUACGUNAGUGGCAGCGUUAUCCGGAUUUAUGGGCGUAAGCGCGCGUNAGCGGUUUUUUAGUCUGAUGUGAAAGCCCACGGCUCACCGUGGAGGGUCAUUGGAAACUGGAAAACUUGAGUGCAGAUUAGGAAAGUGGAAUUCCAUGUGUAGCGGUGAAAUGCGCAGAGAUAUGGAGGAACACCAGUGGCGAAGGCGACUUUCUGGUCUGUAACUGACGCUGAUGUGCGAAAGCGUGGGGAUCAAACAGGAUUAGAUACCCUGGUAGUCCACGCCGUAAACGAUGAGUGCUAAGUGUUAGGGGGUUUCCGCCCCUUAGUGCUGCAGCUAACGCAUUAAGCACUCCGCCUGGGGAGUACGACCGCAAGGUUGAAACUCAAAGGAAUUGACGGGGACCCGCACAAGCGGUGGAGCAUGUGGUUUAAUUCGAAGCAACGCGAAGAACCUUACCAAAUCUUGACAUCCUUUGACAACUCUAGAGAUAGAGCCUUCCCCUUCGGGGGACAAAGUGACAGGUGGUGCAUGGUGGUCGUCAGCUCGUGUCGUGAGAUGUUGGGUUAAGUCCCGCAACGAGCGCAACCCUUAAGCUUAGUUGCCAUCAUUAAGUUGGGCACUCUAAGUUGACUGCCGGUGACAAACCGGAGGAAGGUGGGGAUGACGUCAAAUCAUCAUGCCCCUUAUGAUUUGGGCUACACACGUGCUACAAUGGACAAUACAAAGGGCAGCGAAACCGCGAGGUCAAGCAAAUCCCAUAAAGUUGUUCUCAGUUCGGAUUGUAGUCUGCAACUCGACUACAUGAAGCUGGAAUCGCUAGUAAUCGUAGAUCAGCAUGCUACGGUGAAUACGUUCCCGGGUCU